UACGAAGGGUGCAAGCGUUAUUCGGAAUUACUGGGCGUAAAGCGUGCGUAGGCGGUUUGUUAAGUCUGUUGUGAAAGCCCCGGGCUCAACCUGGGAAUGGCAAUGGAUACUGGCAAGCUAGAGUGCGGUAGAGGGUAGUGGAAUUCCCGGUGUAGCGGUGAAAUGCGUAGAGAUCGGGAGGAACACCAGUGGCGAAGGCGGCUACCUGGACCAGCACUGACACUGAGGCGCGAAAGCGUGGGGAGCAAACAGG
rnacentral:rRNA from 1 species